GACGUAGGGCGCGAGCGUUGUCCGGAUUUAUUGGGCGUAAAGAGCUCGUAGGCGGCUUGUCGCGUCGUCCGUGAAAACUUGGGGCUCAACCCCAAGCUUGCGGUCGAUACGGGCAGGCUAGAGUUCGGUAGGGGAGACUGGAAUUCCUGGUGUAGCGGUGAAAUGCGCAGAUAUCAGGAGGAACACCGGUGGCGAAGGCGGGUCUCUGGGCCGGUACUGACGCUGAGACGCGAAAGCGUGGGGAGCGAACAGG
rnacentral:rRNA from 1 species